UACGGAAGGCAGCAGUGGGGAAUAUUGCACAAUGGGCGCAAGCCUGAUGCAGCCAUGCCGCGUGUAUGAAAAAGGCCUUCGGGUUGUAAAGUACUUUCAGUCGUGAGGAAGGUGUUAAGGUUAAUAACCUUAGCAAUUGACGUUAGCGACAGAAGAAGCACCGGCUAACUCCGUGCCAGCAGCCGCGGUAAUACGGAGGGUGCGAGCGUUAAUCGGAAUUACUGGGCGUAAAGGGCACGCAGGCGGUUAAUUAAGUUGGAUGUGAAAUCCCCGGGCUUAACCUGGGAAUGGCAUUCAAGACUGGUUAGCUAGAGUCUUGUAGAGGGGGGUUAGAAUUCCAUGUGUAGCGGUGAAAUGCGUAGAGAUGUGGAGGAAUACCGGUGGCGAAGGCGGCCCCUGGACAAAGACUGACGCUCAUGUGCGAAAGCGUGGGGAGCAAACG
rnacentral:rRNA from 1 species